rnacentral:rRNA from 3 species
AAAUUGAAGAGUUUGAUCAUGGCUCAGAUUGAACGCUGGCGGCAGGCCUAACACAUGCAAGUCGAACGGUAACAGGAAACAGCUUGCUGCUUUGCUGACGAGUGGCGGACGGGUGAGUAAUGUCUGGGAAACUGCCUGAUGGAGGGGGAUAACUACUGGAAACGGUGGCUAAUACCGCAUAAUGUCGCAAGACCAAAGAGGGGGACCUUCGGGCCUCUUGCCAUCAGAUGUGCCCAGAUGGGAUUAGCUGGUUGGUGAGGUAACGGCUCACCAAGGCGACGAUCCCUAGCUGGUCUGAGAGGAUGACCAGCCACACUGGAACUGAGACACGGUCCAGACUCCUACGGGAGGCAGCAGUGGGGAAUAUUGCACAAUGGGCGCAAGCCUGAUGCAGCCAUGCCGCGUGUAUGAAGAAGGCCUUCGGGUUGUAAAGUACUUUCAGCGGGGAGGAAGGUGUUG